AGUGAACGCUGGCGGCAGGCCUAACACAUGCAAGUCGAACGAGUGGCGGACGGGUGAGUAAAGUCUGGGAAACAGCCGGAUGGAGGGGGAUAACUACGGGAAACGGUAGCUAAUACCGCAUACCAUCGGAGGUGCCCAGAUGGGAUUAGCUAGUAGGUGGGGUAACGGCUCACCUAGGCGACGAUCCCUAGCUGUUCUGAGAGGAUGACCAGCCACACUGGAACUGAGACACGGUCCAGACUCCUACGGUAGUCAGCAGUUGGGAUUAUUUCACAAUGGGCGCAAGCCUGAUGCAGCCAUGCCGCGUUUAUGAAGAACGCCUUCUGUUUGUAAAGUACUUUCAGUUUGGAGGCGUUGCCCGCAGAAGAAGCACCGGCUAACUCCGUGCCAGCAGCCGCGGUAAUUC
rnacentral:rRNA from 1 species